rnacentral:rRNA from 1 species
UACGGGGGGGGCAAGCGUUGUUCGGAAUUACUGGGCGUAAAGGGCUCGUAGGCGGCCAACUAAGUCAGACGUGAAAUCCCUCGGCUUAACCGGGGAACUGCGUCUGAUACUGGAUGGCUUGAGUGUGGGAGAGGGAUGCGGAAUUCCAGGUGUAGCGGUGAGAUGCGUAGAUAUCUGGAGGAACACCGGUGGCGAAGGCGGCAAUCCUGGACCAUUACUGACGCUGAGGAGCGAAAGCCAGGGAGCAAACGGG